rnacentral:rRNA from 1 species
UACGGAGGGUGCUAGCGUUGUUCGGAAUCACUGGGCGUAAAGGGCGUGUAGGCGGUCUGUUAAGUCUGGUGUGAAAUCCCCCCGCUCAACGGGGGAACGGCGCCGGAUACUGGCAGACUCGAGUACCGGAGAGGAAGGUGGAAUUCCCGGUGUAGCGGUGAAAUGCGCAGAUAUCAGGAAGAACACCAAUGGCGAAAGCAGCUCUCUGGGACGGUACUGACGCUGAGACGCGAAAGCGUGGGGAGCGAACAGG